rnacentral:rRNA from 1 species
UGGGGAAUAUUGCACAAUGGGCGCAAGCCUGAUGCAGCCAUGCCGCGUGUGUGAAGAAGGCCUUCGGGUUGUAAAGCACUUUCAGCGAGGAGGAAGGUGGUGAGCUUAAUACGCUCAUCAAUUGACGUUACUCGCAGAAGAAGCACCGGCUAACUCCGUGCCAGCAGCCGCGGUAAUACGGAGGGUGCAAGCGUUAAUCGGAAUUACUGGGCGUAAAGCGCACGCAGGCGGUUUGUUAAGUCAGNUGUGAAAUCCCCGGGCUCAACCUGGGAACUGCAUUUGAAACUGGCAAGCUAGAGUCUCGUAGAGGGGGGCUAGAAUUCCAGGUGUAGCGGUGAAAUGCGUAGAGAUCUGGAGGAAUACCGGUGGCGAAGGCGGCCCCCUGGACGAAGACUGACGCUCAGGUGCGAAAGCGUGGGGCAGCAAACAGGAUUAGAUACCCUGGUAGUCCACGCUGUAAACGAUGUCGA